UAGAAAGCUAAUAGCAGCAGCCUACAUGU
rnacentral:piRNA from 1 species